ACUCAUUUUAGAAUUAGAAAUGUCAUAAAAUCCGUGUACCUAAUUCUUACAACAGUGCCAUGUGUCUUAGAGAAAGUGGUAAGAGGACCCAUUGAGUUAAAUGAUCAAACAAUGAUUCAGUGAAGUCACACUUUGUUGCAUGUUAAGUAACACCUAAUCAAAUGCUGUGUUCAUCACUUCUUCACUGUAUUACUUAGGGUACUUUGGUCCAAGUUGGAGAAGCAAAGUUUUUAUAAUUGAUCUUGCUUUCUCUCCCUUGAUGCAAUAACAUGAGUUGGCUGAAGUCUUUUCCAGGGAAAAGCAAGACUUUGUAUGCUGUUUUAAAGGAAAAGGAACUACUUCACAGAUGUCUGAUACCAUCAACAGUUUCUCCUUGGUAACAGAAACAAUCCAUUUGCCUCUAAAUUUUGGCUAAGAGCCCAGGUAAAGAGUUUUUUCACUGCUGGAGAGGGGAAAAAAAAAUCUUGAGACAAAAAAGAAAGAAACAAGUAUUCACACAGCUGAUGAUAUUUAAUCUAAAUGCAACUGGAAACAAAGGACAAAACCUUUGGUUCAUAACACACAAACUGAUCCAAAUCUCUUGAAGUUGAAGGCAGUAGACUAUGCAGAGAUAUAAACGGUAUUUUCUUACAGUUUAUUUGGAAUAACAUUUUGUAAGCAGGAAAAGCAGUGUAAAAGGAAACAGGGCAGUCAGGCAGAACAAGGACCCUAGAAUUUUCAAAUAGUAAUAAAAAUGUCUAGAACUGUGAUUUACAGAAAUAAAAGCCUGUCUUUUCAAAACAAGAUUUUUUUCAUCAGCAAUAGAUAUUUGAACAAUUUAAUAAAUGUGGAAUCCAUGUGGCAGAUAUGUGCCUUCUCAUGUUGGCUACAUCAGGGGUCAGUUUGUAUGUUUAUCAAGUUGUUAUCUAUCUGGCAAACUGGAUCUUUAACUAUUGACUAUAGAAAGCUACACAAAAUAAGAUUAAACUGGCUUAUUAGCUAGCUCCAGGUUAACAAAAGCAUGGCAGAGAUAAUAGCUUCCUUAGUCAUUGUUGCUACAACUGGGUAGUUAAACUAGGAAGUGGUGAUAUUGCAGCUUCUGUACAAACACACCAAAAGAAGCAUGAAAAUGCUCACUGUGACUACUAAAUAAUUACAGUGUGUCUCUGCUUUUACUGCAUGUCAGCUGCUUGCAUGUUUUUACACAGCUGUUUGUCAGCUUUCACUCUUAAGUAUAUACACAUAUAAGUG